AGAGUUUGAUCAUGGCUCAGGAUGAACGCUAGCGGCAGGCCUAAUACAUGCAAGUCGAGGGGCAGCACAGGUAGCAAUACCGGGUGGCGACCGGCAAACGGGUGCGGAACACGUACGCAACCUUCCUUCGAGUGGGGAAUAGCCCAGAGAAAUUUGGAUUAAUACCCCGUAAGAUCGUGGACUGGCAUCAGUCAGCGAUAAAAGCUCCGGCACUUGAAGAUGGGCGUGCGCCUGAUUAGGUAGUUGGUGAGGUAACGGCUCACCAAGCCGACGAUCAGUAACUGGCGUGAGAGCGCGACCAGUCACACGGGCACUGAGACACGGGCCCGACUCCUACGGGAGGCAGCAGUAAGGAAUAUUGGUCAAUGGACGCAAGUCUGAACCAGCCAUGCCGCGUGGAGGAUGAAGGUCCUCUGGAUUGUAAACUUCUUUUAUCUGGGAAGAAAUGUGGAUAUUCUAAUCUAUUUGACGGUACCAGAUGAAUAAGCACCGGCUAACUCCGUGCCAGCCGCCGCGGUAAUAC
rnacentral:rRNA from 1 species